GACGAACGCUGGCGGCGUGCCUAAUACAUGCAAGUCGAACGCAGUGGGGACGGGUGAGUAACACGUGGGUAACCUCCCAUCAGAGGGGAUAACACUUGGAAACAGGUGCUAAACCGAUAUUGAAGUAUGGACUAGCGGUGCAUUAGCUAGUUGGUGAGGUAACGGCGCACCAAGGCCACGAUGCAUAGCCGGCCUGAGAGGGUGAUCGGCAACCCUGGAAUGGAGACACGGCCCAGACUCCUACGGGAGGCAGCAGUGGGGAAUCGUCUGCAAUGGACGAAAGUCUGACGGAGCAACGCCGCGUGAGUGAAGAAGGUUUUCGGAUCGUAAAACUCUGUUGGUAGGGAAGCGGUAUCUACCCAGAAAGCCACGGCUAACUACGUGCCAGCAGCCGCGGUAAUUC
rnacentral:rRNA from 1 species